rnacentral:rRNA from 1 species
GACGAACGCUGGCGGCGUGCUUAACACAUGCAAGUCGAGCGGAGCGGCGAACGGGUGAGUAACGCGUGAGUAACUGCCCCCCUCUCUGGGAUAACAGUUGGAAACGGCUGCUAUACCGGAUAGUGGGGGAUGACUCGCGUCCUAUCAGCUUGUUGGAGGGGUAGUGGCCUACCAAGGCGACGACGGGUAGCCUGCCUGAGAGGGCGACCGGCCACCUCAGGCGGUGGUACAGCCCAAACUCCUACGGGAGGCAGCAGUGUGGGAUAUUGCACAAUGGUGAAAACACUGAUGCAGCAACGCGCGUGCGGGUUGUAGGCCUUCAGGUUGUAAACCGCUUUCAGCAAUGACGCGGUAGUGGCAGAAGAAGCACCGGCUAACAACGGGCCAGCCGCCGCGGUAAUAC